GAAAUAUUUGUGUUAACAGAUCAGUUCAGAUCUUUCAUCUGCAACACAUCUAGAUGUUGUGUAAUCCUUUCUGUUUUUGGGGUUGUUUUUUUUGAGGAAAUUCAUAUUUCUCAGCUUAUUUGCAAGUUUUUUUUUUGGUAAAAAUGUGUAAAACAAUGAGCAUUGAAAUAUCCAUGUGUGACACCAUUCUGUCUUUCUCUACAGCAUGUGCAUGGAGAUGCUACCAACGUUCAGGGGCAACCCGCACAAGGUAACUUGUCCGACUGUGCCCCUUGCCCCCCUUGACCGUUGUGCCACCACUGAUGUGAACGGUGUCAUUGUCAAGUCCUGCGUGAACAUUAAUGUGUGUGUUGGCCCCAUAAAGCGCUGUUGCACAGACUUGUGCAACAGCGCCGUACCCACUGGUUCCAGUGUCCUCCUCCAGCUGGUGUCCUCAGCCAACAUCACAGUCUUCCUCUGAGGCGCUGCAGCAGCUACAGCUUCACUAUAUCAGUCUCCUUUAAUUACCCAAUUUGUAACUCUGGGAGAAUAAACAAAAUGUUGAUGUGUAAAAUCUGUGAAUGACUGCAGGUCAAUAUUUGUAAUAAAAAAACACAAUUUGAUCGAUCA